GUAGGGGGCAAGCGUUGUCCGGAUUUAUUGGGCGUAAAGCGCGUGUAGGCGGCCAGGUAGGUCAGCUGUGAAAACUCGAGGCUUAACCUCGAGAUGUCGGCUGAAACCAUCUGGCUAGAGUCCGGAAGAGGAGAAUGGAAUUCCCGGUGUAGCGGUGAAAUGCGCAGAUAUCGGGAAGAACACCCGUGGCGAAGGCGGUUCUCUGGGACGGUACUGACGCUGAGACGCGAAAGCGUGGGGAGCGAACAGGAUUAGAUACCCUGGUAGUCCACGCCGUAAACGAUGGGUGCUAGGUGUGGGCGGUGUCGACUCCGUCCGUGCCGAAGCUAACGCAUUAAGCACCCCGCCUGGGGAGUACGGCCGCAAGGCUAAA
rnacentral:rRNA from 1 species